GACGAACGCUGGCGGCGUGCUUAACACAUGCAAGUCGAACGGAAAGGCCCUGCUUUUGUGAGGUGCUCGAGUGGCGAACAGGUGAGUAACACGUGAGUAACCUGCCCUUGACUUUGGGAUAACUUCAGGAAACUGGGGCUAAUACCGGAUAGGAGCUCCUGCUGCAUGGUGGGGGUUGGAAAGUUUCGGCGGUUGGGGAUGGACUCGCGGCUUAUCAGCUUGUUGGUGGGGUAGUGGCUUACCAAGGCUUUGACGGGUAGCCGGCCUGAGAGGGUGACCGGCCACAUUGGGACUGAGAUACGGCCCAGACUCCUACGGGAGGCAGCAGUGGGGAAUAUUGCACAAUGGGCGGAAGCCUGAUGCAGCAACGCCGCGUGCGGGAUGACGGCCUUCGGGUUGUAAACCGCUUUCGCCUGUGACGAAGCGUGAGUGACGGUAAUGGGUAAAGAAGCACCGGCUAACUACGUG
rnacentral:rRNA from 1 species